rnacentral:pre_miRNA from 1 species
AUUAAGUUCAUAUUUCAGUUUUUAGAUACAAUGUUUUGACUAUUUCUCUUAUUUGAGAUAUUUUUGUGAUUAAUAUUUUUGUUGUUACUAGAUGGUAAAACAUGAAUAGUACUUUAUGUGUGACUAUUUUUUUAAAAUUUUUUGUACAAAUUUUUAAAAUAAGAUGAAUGAUCAGAAGUUGGACAUAGAAAUCGAAAAAUUAAGUUAUU